rnacentral:rRNA from 1 species
UACGGGGGGGGCAAGCGUUGUUCGGAAUUACUGGGCGUAAAGGGCUCGUAGGCGGCCAUCUAAGUCGGACGUGAAAUCCCUCGGCUUAACCGGGGAACUGCGUCUGAUACUGGAUGGCUUGAGUGUGGGAGAGGGAUGCGGAAUUCCAGGUGUAGCGGUGAAAUGCGUAGAUAUCUGGAGGAAUACCGGUGGCGAAGGCGGCAUCCUGGACCAUUACUGACGCUGAGGCGCGAAAGCUAGGGGAGCAAACGGG